rnacentral:rRNA from 1 species
UGCCAGACUCCUACGGGAGGCAGCAGUGGGGAAUAUUGCACAAUGGGGGAAACCCUGAUGCAGCGACGCCGCGUGAGUGAAGAAGUCUUUCGGUAUGUAAAGCUCUAUCAGCAGGGAAGAAAAUGACGGUACCUGACUAAGAAGCCCCGGCUAACUACGUGCCAGCAGCCGCGGUAAUACGUAGGGGGCAAGCGUUAUCCGGAUUUACUGGGUGUAAAGGGAGCGUAGACGGCGGUGCAAGCCAGGAGUGAAAGCCCGGGGCCCAACCCCGGGACUGCUCUUGGAACUGCGUGGCUGGAGUGCAGGAGGGGCAGGCGGAAUUCCUGGUGUAGCGGUGAAAUGCGUAGAUAUCAGGAGGAACACCGGUGGCGAAGGCGGCCUGCUGGACUGCAACUGACGUUGAGGCCCGAAAGCGUGGGGAGCAAACAGGAUUAGAUGCCCCUGUAA